UUGCUCAUUUUCAGAGAGUGCUCGCCAAUGAGCCCGUUAGAGUAUAAAGAGGGCAGGGUAGUGCGAUGUUAAAAUUAAAUGACAAAUAAUGCGAGGUCAAUCCAUAGGGGGGUAAGCAAAGGACUUAUGGGAAAACGACUACUAACGAUGAUGCAAGAGAGAGUAAUGAUUCCAAAACGGUAAUGCAAGGAAGACUAUUGAGUGGCUGGUUGUGCCAUGAAUCAAGUCAAAAGGAAAACUCAUUUAAGUGCAAUUCCCUUUAAUAUAUGCACAUGGUCUUCAAACUUGAGAGGCAAAGCCAAAUGGUGGAAGGUGAUAAAGGACUGUCUUUCAAAAGUGACAUUAAAGCUCAUAAAAAGAUUAAGUUGUUGGUGAAGGCUUUAUCUCCCCAUUUGCUUGAUGGAUUAUUGUCUCUUCUCCAAAUGCCAAAGAGUUGGUUCACCCGAGAUGCAAUGCUUGGUUCAAAAGGGAUAGCUUGUCGUCUUAAGUUCUGAAUUUUUUCUUUUGCAACUAUUCCGAGUUCAAAAGAGGCGGCCUCCAUCAGCAAACAAAGGCUUGAAAGGAAUGAUGAAGACUAUUAAGAUUCGAGAC